CUCCACAGACAGCCUGAGAGCGGCAGGGGGGAGAGCUCUGUGGGACCCAGCAGCCCCAGCCACGGGACGACAGACGCGCCCGUGCCGGUGCCGCUGUUUUCCAAGGAGGGCGGAGAGCAGCGUUGGGUGGAGGGCACGCGUCUGGAGCCGGGUUUCGUCAGGUGCCCUGCUGGAAAGGGCGGGCUGACUGCAGGCCAGGGGCACAGUGGCUGGAGAGUGGCCCGCCCGGGCGUGUGUGGGUGAUCUCGGCGAGUGAGCGGCAGCCAGGCCCCCGCCUGCAGGGCACUUCUGCCCCUGACGCUCCAGUUCACGCAGCAGUUCUCGCUGGGAUCACAGACGAAGAAGCAGGGGCAGCCCGGCGGCAGCGCUGGCCUUUCUGAUGGCAGCUGCAGCAGCCUGGAGUCCAGGAGUCACAUGACUUUAAGUAAUGCCCUCAAUCACAGGAGAGGGAGGUUGUGCAGCUCACCCGCUGGGAGUUGUGUGAUCACUGAAGAAUCCCCAGGCGGAUGGAUGAGAGCAGCCUGGGAGAAGGCGCCCCCUUCCUUACCUGGGCCUGUGGGGACCGAGAGCUGCCCCCUGGGACAGCGCCGAGCGGGCCCAGUGUUAACUGCCUUGCGGUCCUCCACGUGGCUAAUUUGGAGGCCCCGGCUGAACUUUUUCUGUUGUUGCUAUCCGUUUCCCACCACAGAUGUGUUACCUUAAAGUGCUGUGGGCCAGAAGUCUGAGGCUGAAGGCAGAAUGAGGACUUUGAAGUUGCUCUGAUGACAAAGAGCAAUGCCACAGGCAGAUCUAUGAACCGCAACCGUCUCUAAUGCUGGUGAUGGUGGGGCCUCUCAGCUCAAGAGGACGAACAGAGGAACGAAGGGCACUGUUGGCUUUGGAUGCGGCUGGAGUCCUGCUCCUCUUCCUGAGCUCUUAGGAGCCGUCGGCCAGAGGAAUUCACCCUGAAGUUGUUGGAGCACCGGGCUGGCCCACGCUAGAGCCUCCUGAGGACAGGCAGAACGCCCCAGCAGCUUCGGGCGGGCGCGAGAGGUCCCUGUAGCAGUCUCGAAGGCCGGAGCUCUCUGUACGUUGUGGCGGUUUUGUUUGCCAGGCAGCCGCUUGCUCCAGGAGGGUGUGGGGGCCCAGGGAGGCGCAGCACUGCCAUGUAGACCACAUUUUAUUACUCCCUCUCCAGGCCUGCUUUGUACCUGCUGAUUCUGAG
rnacentral:lncRNA from 1 species